CUCUUUCUCCCUUCGUGUUGUGGUCUGCUGUUCCAUCUGUCUGUGUUCUGCUUCUACUGGUUCUACUGGUCCUACUGGUGACACGAUGCACCCAUAGAAAACCUAGAGCUGCUGAAGUAGAAAGUGGGGGUGGUGACAUCCUGGAUGACAUCACAUACACUGAAAUAUCACGUCAGCAACAACAGCCAAUCAGACGGAUCACAGAGAGUGAUCCAGCUGCAGUUUACUCA